rnacentral:rRNA from 1 species
UACAGAGGUCUCAAGCGUUGUUCGGAUUCAUUGGGCGUAAAGGGCGCGUAGGCGGCUUGAUAAGCGUGCGGUGAAAGCCCGGGGCUCAACCCCGGGUCGGCCGUGCGAACUGUCGAGCUGGAGCACUGUAGAGGCAGGUGGAAUUCCGGGUGUAGCGGUGGAAUGCGUAGAGAUCCGGAAGAACACCGGUGGCGAAGGCGGCCUGCUGGGCAGUGGCUGACGCUGAGGCGCGACAGCGUGGGGAGCAAACAGG